AUGUCGGCGGGCAAUCGGGAGAGCGGCUCAGCGCCGAGGCAUAAGCGAGGCGGGCCGGCGCGGAGAAGGCGGAGGGGGCCAAGGACAGGCGGACGGCCGGGGAACCGGGCGGGAGUGCGGGGGGCUCGCGAGGUCGCUGCUCGCUACCUGGGCCCUCCCGAGGCCGCUGCGAGCGCGGAGACGGCGACGGGCCGGGGGCAGGAGCGGGAGGAAGAGCUGUGGCUCGAAGGGCUGCGAGGGCGCAGAGGAGCUGCGUCGGGGCUGGGUGUUGGUGUUGGUCGGCGGCGGCGCGAGUCUCCUCCCCGCUGGCACCGGGCGCCGAGGCCACACCUGGCCGGUUUCUUCCCAGGGCGGGAAAACCACGACUUCCUGGAAAAGUCUUCACCGUUUAUUGAAGUCAAAAUAUCUAAACAAAUCAGUGGCAGUUCUGUGGUAGAGAUUCAAGGAGAUGAAAUGACACAAAUCAUUUGGGAAUUGAUUCAAGAGAAACUCAUUUUUCCCUAUGUGGAAUUGGAUCUACAUAGCUAUGAUUUAGGCAUAGAGAAUCGUGAGGCCACCAACCACCAGGUCACCACGGAUGCUGCAGAAGCUAUAAAAAAGUAUAACAUUGGUGUCAAGUAUGCCACUAUCAUCCCCGAUGAGAAAAGGGUUGAGGAGUUCAAGUUGAAACAAAUGUGGAAAUCGCCAAAUGGCACCAUCCAAAAUAUUAUUCUGGGUGGCACAGUCUUCAGAGAAGCCAUUAUCUGCAAAAAUAUCCCCCGGCUUGUGAGUGGAUGGGUAAAACCCCCCAUCGUAGGUCGUCAUGCUUAUGGGGAUCAAUACAGAGCAACUUAUUUUGUUGUUCCUGGGCCUGGAAAAGUAGAGCUAACCUACACACUGAGUGACAGCACCCAAAAGGUGACAUACCUGGUACAUAACUUGGAAGAGGAUGAUAGUGUUGCCAUGGGGAUGUAUAAUCAAGAUAAGUCAAUGAAAGAUUUUGCACAUAGUUCCUUCCAAAUGGCUCUAAGGGUUGGUCUUUGUAUCUGAGCACUAAAACACUGUUUUGAAGAAACAUGAUGGACGUUUUAAAGACAUCUUUUAGGAGAUAUAUGACAAGCAGUACAAGUCCCAAUUUGAAGCCCAAAAGAUCUUGUAUGAGCAUAGGCUUAUCGAUGACAUGGUGGUCCAAGCUAUGAAAUCAGAAGGAGGCUUCAUCUGGGCCUGUAAAAACUAUGAUGGUGACAUGCAGUCAGACUCUGUGGCUCAAGGGUACAUCUCUCUUGGCAUGAUGACCAGUGUGCUGGUGUGUCCACAUGGCAAGACAGUAGAAGCAGAGGCUGCCCACUGGACUGUAACCCGUCACUACCACAUGUCCCAGAAAGGCCAGGACACGUCCACCAAUCCCAUUGCUUCCAUUUUUGCCUGGACCAGAGGGUUGGCUCUCAGAGCAAAGAUUGAUAGCAAUAAAGAGCUUGCCUUCUUUGCAAAUGCUUUGGAAAAAGUCUGUAUUGAGACAAUUGAGGCUGGUUUCACGACCGAGGACUUGGCUGCUUGCAUUAAAGGUUUACCCAGUGCGCAACGUUCUGACUCCUUGGAUAUGUUUGAGUUCAUGGACAAACUUGGAGAAAACUGGAAGAUCAAACUGGCUCAGGCCAAACUUGAAAUUCAUACCUGGGCUGAGGAGGAUAAGUGUCUUUUGGCAACUAGGUCUACAGGCUUACAUUUUUCUGUGUCACACUCAAGGCUAAAGGCAAAAUCUAUUUUGUAAUUUGUUUAGAAGCCAGAAUUUAUCUUUUCUAUAAGUUUAUAGUCUUUUUCUUAUAUAUAGUUAUUGCCACCUUUGUGAAUGUGGCAAGGGACUUUAAAUUUUAUUUUCUGCUAGCAGCCUAGGAAUUCGGUUAGUACUCAUUUGUAUUCACUAUCACUGUUUCUCAUGUUCUGUUAUAAAUGACCAAAAUCAAGAGUGCUCAAAAGGGUAAAUGAUAGCCACAGUAUUGUUCCCUAGAAUAUGCAUAAAGUAGAAAUUCAUUCCCUUCUUCUCCUGUCCAUGACCUUGGGCACGGGGAGGUUUUGUUGUUAAAGACGUCCCAUUACGUGAUAUAGAGCUAUACAUUAAACUUGCACACAACUGGAACAAACUAUGAGUGCAACUAAAAUGUGUUGAAGAUACUGCAGUCAUUUUUGUAAAGAGCUUGCUGAAUGUUUCCAAUAGACUAAAUAUUUUUCAGGCCACAGGAGAGUUUGGAAUCUGGGAUAAAUACUACUUGGAG